UACGGUGGGUGCAAGCGUUAAUCGGACUCAUUGGGCGUAAAGAGCAUGUAGGCGGAGUGGAAAGUUAGAUGUGAAAGCACGGGGCUCAACUCCGGAUCCGCAUCUAAAACUACCAUUCUGGAGGAUGGACGGAGAAAAGGGAAUUCCACGUGUAGCGGUGAAAUGCGUAGAUAUGUGGAAGAACACCGGUGGCGAAGGCGCUUUUCUAGUUUAUUCCUGACGCUGAGAUGCGAAAGCAAGGGGAGCAAACAGG
rnacentral:rRNA from 1 species